rnacentral:rRNA from 1 species
GAACGGUAACAGGUCUUCGGAUGCUGACGAGUGGCGGACGGGUGAGUAAUGCGUAGGAAUCUGUCUUUUAGUGGGGGACAACCCAGGGAAACUUGGGCUAAUACCGCAUGAGCCCUGAGGGGGGAAAGCGGGGGAUCUUCGGACCUCGCGCUAAGAGAGGAGCCUGCGUCCGAUUAGCUAGUUGGCGGGGUAAAGGCCCACCAAGGCGACGAUCGGUAGCUGGUCUGAGAGGACAACCAGCCACACUGGGUCUGAGACACGGCCCAGACUCCUACGGGAGGCAGCAGUGGGGAAUUUUUCGCAAUGGGGGCAACCCUGACGAAGCAAUGCCGCGUGGAUGAAGAAGGCCUUCGGGUUGUAAAGUCCUUUCGUGGAGGACGAAAAGGUGGGUUCUAAUACAAUCUGCUAUUGACGUGAAUCCAAGAAGAAGCACCGGCUAACUCCGU